rnacentral:rRNA from 1 species
GACGAACGCUGGCGGCGUGCUUAACACAUGCAAGUCGAACGGAAAGGCCCUGCUUUUGUGGGGUGCUCGAGUGGCGAACGGGUGAGUAACACGUGAGUAACCUGCCCUUGACUUUGGGAUAACUUCAGGAAACUGGGGCUAAUACCGGAUAGGAGCUCCUGCUGCAUGGUGGGGGUUGGAAAGUUUCGGCGGUUGGGGAUGGACUCGCGGCUUAUCAGCUUGUUGGUGGGGUAGUGGCUUACCAAGGCUUUGACGGGUAGCCGGCCUGAGAGGGUGACCGGCCACAUUGGGACUGAGAUACGGCCCAGACUCCUACGGGAGGCAGCAGUGGGGAAUAUUGCACAAUGGGCGGAAGCCUGAUGCAGCAACGCCGCGUGCGGGAUGACGGCCUUCGGGUGGUAAACCGCUUUCGCCUGUGACGAAGCGUGAGUGACGGUAAUGGGCAAAGAAGCACCGGCUAACUACGU